CUGCUAUUUGGUUUCCACUUAGCCAUGCAAGUCUGGGGGUUCUUCGGAGCCACCGGCAGAAGGCUCAGUAACACGUCGACAACCUGCCCUUAGGCCGGGAAUAACUACGGGAAACUGUGGCUAAUACCCGAUAGAGAAAAAAGGCUGGAACGCGUUUUUCUCCAAAGCUUCGGCACCUAAGGAUGGGUCGGCGGCGGAUUAGGCUGUUGGUGAGGUAAAGGCUCACCAAACCUGAGAUCCGUAGGGGGGAUGAGAGUCCUAACCCCCGAGAAGGGCACUGAGAUAAGGGCCCUACCCCUAAGGGGUGCAGCAGGCGGGAAACCUUUACAAUGCACGCAAGUGUGAUAAGGGGGAACCAAAGUGCUCGCUUGUCGGGCGGGCUUUUGCCAAGCUUAAAAACCUUGGCGAAUAAGUGGUGGGCAAGACCGGUGCCAGCCGCCGCGGUAACACCGGCGCCACGAGUGGGGAUCGCGUUUAUUGGGCCUAAAGCGUUCGUAGCCGAAUAGGUAAAUCUUUUGUGAAAUCGUUGGGCUUAACCUAGCGACUUGCGAAAGAGACUGCUUAUUUAGGGACCGGGAGGAGUCAGAGGUACUCUUGGGUUAACGGUUAAAUGUGAUAACCCCAAGAGGACCACCGGUGGCGAAGGCGUCUGACUAGAACGGAUCCGACGGUGAGGAACGAAGGCUGGGGGAGCAAAACGGAUUAGAUACCCGAGUAGUCCCAGCAGUAAACGCUGCGAACUAUGUGUUGCGCAAUCUCCGUGAUUGUGCACUGCCGGAGCGAAGGUGUGUAAGUUCGCCGCCUGGGGAGUACGGUCGCAAGGCUGAAACUUAAAGGAAUUGGCGGGGGCGCACUACAACGAGUGCGGCGUGCGGUUUAAUCAGACUCUACACCGUGAACCUCACCAGGAACGACGGCAGGAUGAAGGUCAGAUUGAAGGUCUUACCUAACGAGCCGAGAGGAGGUGCAUGGCCGUCGUCAGCUCGUGCCGUAAGGUGUCCAGUUAAGUCUGGCAACGAGCAAGACCCACAUCUACUGUUGCAAACGGGCUCUCCGGAGUGACCGCGCACACUGUAGAGACUGCCUCGGAAACGAGGAGGAAGGUGUGGGCAACGAUAGGUGGUAUGCCCCGAAUUUCCUGGGCUACACGCGCGCAACAAUGGUAGGGACAAUGGGCUACGACUCUGAAAAGAGAAGUUAAUCCUCGAAACCCUACUCUAGUUCGGAUUGAGGGCUGCAACCCGCCCUCAUGACGCCGGAAUUCGUAGUAAUCGCUUGUCAUCAGCAAGCGGUGAAUACGUCCCUGUGCCUUGCACACACCGCCCGUCACACCACUCGAGUAGAGUUUGGGUGAGGCUUGUGCUCUAGCACAUUCCGAACCUAGGUUCUGCGAG
rnacentral:rRNA from 1 species